GAGUUUGAUCUUGGCUCAGAGCGAACGCUGGCGGCAGGCUUAACACAUGCAAGUCGAACGGGCACUUCGGUGCUAGUGGCAGACGGGUGAGUAACACGUGGGAACGUACCUUUCGGUUCGGAAUAAUACAGGGAAACUUGUACUAAUACCGGAUACGCCCUUCGGGGAAGGAUUAUCGCCGAUGAUCGCCGCGUCUGAUUAGCUAGUUGGUGAGGUAAUGGCUCACCAAGGCGACGAUCAGUAGCUGGUCUGAGAGGAUGAUCAGCCACACUGGGACUGAGACACGGCCCAGACUCCUACGGGAGGCAGCAGUGGGGAAUAUUGGACAAUGGGCGCAAGCCUGAUCCAGCCAUGCCGCGUGUGUGAUGAAGGCCUUA
rnacentral:rRNA from 1 species